rnacentral:rRNA from 1 species
CCUACGGGAGGCUGCAGUGAGGAAUAUUGGUCAAUGGCCGAGAGGCUGAACCAGCCAAGUAGCGUGAAGGAAGACUGCCCUACGGGUUGUAAACUUCUUUUGUCGGGGAACAAAGCGAACCACGUGUGAUUCUUUGUGAGUACCCGAAGAAAAAGCAUCGGCUAACUCCGUGCCAGCAGCCGCGGUAAUACGGAGGAUGCGAGCGUUAUCCGGAUUUAUUGGGUUUAAAGGGUGCGAAGGGGGAGGUUAAAGUAAGCGGUAAAAUUGCGGGGCUCAACCCCGUACUGCCGUGGAAACUGUAUCCCUUGAGUGCGCGAGAGGUAUGCGGAAUGCGUGGUGUAGCGGUGAAAUGCAUAGAUAUCACGAAGAACUCCGAUUGCGAAGGCAGCAUACCGGAGCGCAACUGACGCUCAUGCACGAAAGCGUGGGUAUCGAACAGGAUUAGAUACCCUUGUAGUC